GGCUAGCCUCAAGUGAUGAUUAUUGGAGGUAGAGCACUGUUUGGACGAGGGGCCCCUCUCGGGUUACCGAAUUCAGACAAACUCCGAAUGCCAAUUAAUUUAACUUGGGAGUCAGAACAUGGGUGAUAAGGUCCGUGUUCGAAAGGGAAACAGCCCAGACCACCAGCUAAGGUCCCAAAAUAUAUGUUAAGUGGAAAAGGAUGUGGCGUUGCCCAGACAACUAGGAUGUUGGCUUAGAAGCAGCCAUCAUUUAAAGAGUGCGUAAUAGCUCACUAGUCGAGUGACACUGCGCCGAAAAUGUACCGGGGCUAAACAUAUUACCGAAGCUGUGGAUUGUCCUUUGGACAAUGGUAGGAGAGCGUUCUAAGGGCGUUGAAGCAUGAUCGUAAGGACAUGUGGAGCGCUUAGAAGUGAGAAUGCCGGUGUGAGUAGCGAAAGACGGGUGAGAAUCCCGUCCACCGAUUGACUAAGGUUUCCAGAGGAAGGCUCGUCCGCUCUGGGUUAGUCGGGUCCUAAGCUGAGGCCGACAGGCGUAGGCGAUGGAUAACAGGUUGAUAUUCCUGUACCACCUAUAAUCGUUUUA
rnacentral:rRNA from 1 species